CCCUUAGAUGUUCUGGGCCGCACGCGUGCUACACUGAGUGGAUCAGCGGGUCAGGUUGCGCGAAAGCGUUUCCUAAUCUUUAAAUCCGCUCGUGAUGGGGAUUGACGGUUGCAAUUUUCUGUCAUGAACGAGGAAUACCUUGUAAGCGCGGGUCAUCAUCCCGCGCUGAAUACGUCCCUGCCCUUUGUACACACCGCCCGUCGCUCCUACCGAUUGAGUGGUCCGGUGAGCUAUUCGGACUUUCGCAUUGUCGAUUUUCGGCUUUACGAGGGAAAGUCUCGCGAACCUUAUCAUCUAGAGGAAGGAGAAGUCGUAACA
rnacentral:rRNA from 1 species